AAGAAGAGCAAUUCAGUUAGAAGCUGAGAGAAGCCAGUUUGAAUUUGUCAGCUUGGAGAGGAGUUUGAGCCACAACAGCUGAGUUCAACCAGCCAGCCAGAGUUUAGAAAGAACUCGAAAGAUAACAUGAACUUUGGGAACAACAACAACAAAAAAAAUUACUCCACCUUCUCAUGCCAGAAUUCUGUUACUGUUUGCUUUUAACUUUAGAACGCUCAAACACUGUUCUCUGUGGCUCCAAACUUGAGUAUUUGUGGCUGUCAUUGAGGUUCUGUUUCUCUCUCUAUGGUCACCAGUGGGAAGUUAUUGGCCAAAUACCUGACAAGAAGAAAUUAAUGGCAGGAGGGUUUACUUUGGCCCAGUUUGAACCCACACGACACUCAGGAGGAGGUACAAUAAGACUUUGUGAUGCCAAUGUGUAUUGGCUUUCUUAUGAUGCUUGCCUUAUGCCUGACAUGGGAAAGAUGUAAUUUAAGAAGUAAAGGAAUGGUGGAGUUCAUGCUGCUCUUGCAGAAGACCACAGUCAGUUCCCAUCACCCACCUGUGUCUUCAGCUCCAGGGAAUCAGAACCUUCUUCUGACCAAGGUGUGCACUCAAAUGCAGGUGCACCAAAUUCGUGCACAAAUAAGUAAUAAAAGAAACUU
rnacentral:lncRNA from 1 species